rnacentral:lncRNA from 1 species
UUUGUUGUACUAUGCAUAUACAUGUAGGUCUGCUAUAUUAUUACUCAUGUGUAACUUGCCAAUACAUUCAAAGUAUUGACCUAUAUGGCUGCAACGUCUCAUGUUGCACGAUAUUCAGACAACGAGUAAGGUACCGUUAGGGUCGCGAGUCUGCACUCAGCAUCGCCAGUGGGCUAUGAUGGGACUCAUCGUUAUUGUCUGCUACUUUCCACUGUUUGAUUGUAUAAAGCUAGCCAAGUGCUAUGCAGAUUGUUUUAUUUUAUACAUUCUGGAUCAUACGAUGUAAUAAAUGAUGCACUUGCUAUUCUGGUAUUCAUCUAUACUGUGUGUGCUAGCGAGUUUGAUCCAGGGACUAGCACGGUAAGCACAGAGACUCAAAUCCUUCGAGGUUUGGUCGUUACAGAUGGUAUCAGAGCAGUGUGUUGACUGUAGGACGUGACCCUAGAAAAUGGAUUAGAAAAGCCAUAGGAGUGAAGGCUAUUUUAUAAACUAGCUAUACUUCUUACUGUUUAUUAGUUAACCCCCUCAAGUAUCUUGGCGAGUUAAGUAGGAACUAGUGCUGAGACCACCAUUCAUGCUUGUUUUAUAUUGCAAUGUUAUCGUGUUAGCGUAUCUGAUUAUGCCCACUUUUGUGGUAUGAAGAUACUAGAUUGUUUGCUUGAUUGGUAGUUUGUUUGUUAAUUUAUAUCUUGUCAAAAUUAUUCGACUAUAUAUAUAUAUAUAUAUAUAUAAUAUUAUCAUAUUAUUGUUUGUUGUUUGUUGUUUGUUGUUUGUGUGUUGGUGUUAUUCGUUGUUAUGUUUUGAUGGCUUGAUCAUAUUAUGCAUAUGGGUAGAAUAUAUUUAUAUAUACAUAGUCUUUGGCCCUAUUAUAUCUAUAACUCAUUUAUUCUUGCCAACCAAAACACUUAGCAUGCCUAUUAGAGUGAGUUCCCCAGGAGCUGAGAUGAUAGCAGGUGUUGGUUGUCAUCAGUUGACCUUGUCUAUUGGGAAGCAUGAGUUUCCUACAGAUUUGAUUAUAUUAAAGUCACAAGGUCUGGAUAUUAUUUUUGGUAUGGAUUGGUUGCAGUUAUAUAAAGGUCGUAUUGAUUGUGCCAGUCGAUCUAUUACUCUCAGUGCACCAGGUGGGAAGAGGAUCAAAUAUGUGUGUAAGUAUAAGCGUAAUCAGGUGCAGGUGAACUCUCUUAAGGGGGGUAGCCUGGAAGAGGUGCCAGUUGUGAGGGAUUAUCCAGAUGUGUUUCCAGAGGAGUUGCCAGGUAUGCCACCAGAUAGAGAUAUUGAGUUUCUUAUUGAUUUAAUACCAGGCACUGGACCUAUUGCAAAGAGACUGUAUAGAAUGCCUCCUCAAGAGUUGGAGGAAUUGAAGAAGCAGAUAAGAGAAUUGCAGGCUCAGGGAUUUAUUCGCCCAAGUUCAUCACCUUGGGGAGCUCCAGUUUUGUUUGUGGAGAAGAAGGAUGGGACUUUGAGGAUGUGUGUUGAUUAUCGUUCUCUGAAUGAGGUAACCAUUAAGAAUAAGUAUCCUUUGCCUAUGAUAAAUGAUCUAUUUGAUCAGUUGGAGGGAGCUACUGUGUUUUCUAAGAUUGAUCUCCGUUCUGGUUAUCAUCAAUUGAAGAUUCGUGAGCAAGAUAUUCCAAAGACUGCUUUUACUACGAGGUAUGGGUUGUAUGAAUAUACUGUUAUGUCAUUUGGAUUGACUAACGCUCCUGCAUAUUUCAUGAAUAUGAUGAACAAGGUGUUUAUGGAGUUCUUGGAUAAAUUUGUGGUUGUUUUCAUUGAUGAUAUAUUGGUGUUCUCCAAGAAUAAGCAAGAGCAUGAGGUGCAUCUGCGUUUGGUAUUGGAGAAAUUAAGGGAACAUCAGUUGUAUGCCAAGUUCAGCAAAUGUGAGUUUUGACUGGAUGAGGUAGCUUUCCUUGGACAUGUUGUGUCAGGUAAUGGAGUUGCAGUUGAUCCAUCUAAGGUUGCUGCAGUUACAGAGUGGGAGACACCCACGACAAUUGGGGAGAUUCGCAGCUUUUUGGGCCUUGCAGGUUAUUACAGGAGGUUUAUUGAGAAUUUUUCCAAGAUUGCAAAGCCUAUGACUGAAUUGUUGAAGAAAGAGGAGAAAUUUGUUUGGACCGAUGAAUGUGAAGCCAGUUUUCAGGAGUUGAAGCAGCGUUUGGUUACAGCACCAGUCUUAACACUGCCAGAUAUACAUAAGGACUUCCAGGUAUAUUGUGAUGCUUCUCGUUAAGGACUUGGGAGUGUUUUGAUGCAGGAAGGUAAAGUUGUUUCAUAUGCUUCACGUCAGCUUAAGAAUCAUGAGCAUAAUUAUCCUACACAUGAUUUGGAGUUAGCCUCAGUUGUGCAUGCAUUGAAAACUUGGAGGCCAUACCUUAAUGGUAAUCGUUGUGAUAUAUUUAUCGAUCAUAAGAGCUUGAAGUAUAUUUUUACUCAAAAGGAUUUGAACCUCAGGCAGAGGAGAUGGUUGGAGAUUAUUAAGGAUUAUGAUUUGAAUGUGCAGUAUUAUCCUGGUAAGGCUAAUGUUGUUGCUGAUGCAUUGAGUCGUAGGAGCCAUGCUAAUGCAAUUAAUAUUGAUAAUAUGCCACCCGAGUUAUGUGAACAAUUCAGGAAUCUCAGGUUGGAGAUGGUUCCUAAGGGAUAUUUGGCAACACUUGAGGUAAAGCCUACUUUGCUUGACAGGAUUAGAGAAGCUCAAAAGGGUGAUAAGUAGAUUGCUGAGAUAAAAGAGAACAUGGUUAAAGGUAAAGCAGAAGGUUUCCAUGAGGAUGAACAUGGGGCCAUAUGGUUUGAGAAGCGUAUUUGUGUACCUCAGGAUGAAGACAUCAGGAAGUUGAUUCUUCAGGAGGCGCAUGAUUCACCUUAUUCUAUUCACCCAGGUAAUACUAAGAUGUAUUUGGAUUUGAGGGAAAGAUUUUGGUGGCCUAGCCUGAAGAGGGAAAUUGCUGGAUAUAUUGCAACAUGUGAUGUGUGCGAGAGAAUUAAAGCAGAACAUCAGAGACCGGCAGGUUUGCUAUAGCCAUUGCCUAUACCUGAUUGGAAGUGGGAUGAGAUUGGUAUGGAUUUCAUUACAGGUCUACCCAGGACUCGGUCAGGUUAUGAUUCUAUUUGGGUAGUUGUUGAUCGUUUGACUAAAGUUGCUCACUUCAUCCCGGUAAAGACUACUUAUACCAGUGCUCAGCUAGCAAAGAUUUAUAUGUCUAAAAUUGUUUGUCUGCAUGGAGUUCCAAGGAAGGUAGUGUCUGAUAGAGGUACUCAGUUCACAUCCAAAUUUUGGCGCCAGUUGCAUGAAUCCUUGGGCACCAGGCUGGAGUUUAGUACAGCUUUCCAUCCACAGACAGAUGGGCAGACAGAGAGGGUAAAUCAGAUUUUGGAGGAUAUGUUGAGAGCUUGUGCUUUGGACUAUGGGUCCAGUUGGGAUGAUAAUUUACCUUAUGCAGAGUUCUCAUAUAAUAACAGUUAUCAUGCUAGUCUGAAGAUGGCACCAUUUGAGGUAUUCUAUGGCAGAAAGUGCAGGACACCGUUGAUGUGGGAUGAGGUUGGAGAGCAUCAGUUCUUUGGACCAGACUUGAUCAGAGAUGCUCAGGAGAAGGUCAAGUUGAUUCAUGAUAGACUGAAGAUAGCACAGUCCAGACAGAAGAGUUAUGCAGAUGCGAAACGUAAGGAGGUGACAUAUGAGGUAGGAGACCGUGCAUAUCUUAGAGUUUCACCACUUCGUGGAAUUAAGAGGUUUGGAAUCAAAGGUAAGUUAGCACCAUGUUUUGUGGGGCCUUACAUGAUCUUGGAGCGUAGAGGAGAGGUAGCUUAUCAGCUGGAGUUGCCAGAAUCCUUGUCUGGAGUUCAUAAUGUGUUUCAUGUAUCCCAGUUGAAGAAGUGUCAUGCAGAGAUGAUGGAUGUUCAAUUGAGGGACACAGUGCCACUUGAGGCAAUUCAGUUGGAGAGUGAUUUGACAUAUGAGGAGAAGCCUGUUAAGAUUCUGGAGACAGCAGAGAGAGUUACUCGCACCAAGACAAUCAAGUUAUGCAAGGUUCAGUGGGAUCAUCAUACAGAGGAGGAAGCUACCUGGGAAUGAGAGGAAGAUCUCAAGCAGGAUCACCCACACCUAUUCGCUAGCCAGCCCGAAUCUCGAGGGCGAGAUUCAUCUUAAGGGGGGUAGGUUUGUAACAUCCCAAUUUUCCUAAAUUAGGAUGUUAUUAGAUCAUACAUAUGCAUAUCAUAUUUUCCAUGCAUUAUUUGCUCUUCUGCAAUAUUCUUUUCAUUAUGCAACUAAAGGCAAUUUAUUGGAGUGGAGAUAAAAUGACUUCUCCCCUGUUUAAAAAUGUUCAUAAUGUCAAUAAUAUUAUUUCCAGUUCAUAUGUUACGUUCUGGUAUUUUUUAUUAGUCUCCAUAGUAUUUUAUUUGAGUGUUUUGUUGCUGUUUGUGUGGCCUAUUGCAUAAAAAUGAUUUUUCCGAAAUUGCAUUAGGUGAGGAACUAGUGUUCCUGUAGUUUAUAUUAGUAGUAAAUAUUUUACUGUGUGUAUAUGUAUUUUUGUUUAGUUUUUAUUAUGUUGUUUUUAUUUUUAGUUUAACCGCUGUAGCAGUUUUGUGUUCUUAAAAAAAACAGGGCCAGCCAGCCGGCCAGCCAACCGGCCCAUCACCGUGGCCCAGCCAGCCAGCCAGCGCAGCAGCAGCACACAGCCGCACCACACCGCUGCGGCCCAUCUUCCUCGCGAAGCGGUACGCACAGCCAUACCCGACCCGCACCUGCAGCCCGCACCCAUCUUCCACCCUGAGCCGGACGUAGCCGCACGCACGCCGAGGCCGAGCCGGAUCGCCCAGCACCCCUGGUACACCUCGAGCGCGCCAGACCUGCCGUACGCGAAGCAAAACCCCUAGGGGAGACCCCGCAGCUCCUGUCCUGAUCCUCUUCGUUGCCGCACGCGCUGUUGGGCGAAAACGGAUCUCGCUGUCGUGCUCCGAGGCCGCCGUCGUUCACCGUCCGUAUCCGCCACCGUAAGGACGCCCCUGCCGCUCCACUUCUCACCCUUGAACCCCCACUCGACGCCGCCCUAUCCUGACACGCCCUUGUGGCUGAAAUCGCAGCGGAGAGAGAGGAACGAGCCCACCCGCCGUCGCCGAGCACGCCGGAGUUAACAUCUUCGCUGUCGCCUACAGAGGUCGCCCCGUCACCGUUUGACAUCACCGACGUCUCUGCCGCUCGACAGCGCACCCGCCCGUCACUUCACCUUCGUCGGAGACCCACCGGAGGAGCGCCGCCGCCAACGCCCGAGAUCGCCGCCGCCGUUUUCCUCUGCUUCUGGUGAGCACGCACGCGCACAGGAGCCUUUGGCCAAUCACGAGCUGCCACGUGGGCACCAGCUACAGCACACGCAGUAACAGUGCAGGAGUUUUCUGUUUUCUUUUUCAGAUUUCAGCUAAAACUUCAACUAGCUAUAUCUUUUAUUCUAUAAGUCCAAAUUAGGUAAUUCUUUUUCCAAUGAUCUCAAAAAAAUCAGCACAUUAUCACAGUACCAACUUUGCACAUGUUUGCACUAUUCAAAUUUGAAUUAGUUCGAAUUUGAAAUAAACCUUCGGGAGGCCGUAACUCUCAAACCGUUUAUCGGAUUCGAGUGAUUCUUUUUGCAUUGUGACCGUAGUGCAAUUUAGGUGCUGUUAAGCUUCUGUUGUUGUGUUUUUGAAAUGAUUUUCUUGCUGUUGGUUUUAUUUUGGUUCGAUUCGUGUUCCGAUGAUUGAUUUGUUGUAUUGUGUGAAACGUGUAGAUUGUCCGGAGUGCGACGCAAACUAUUGUCAGGAGUGUGACUUUCUGAACCAGAACCAAGGCAAGUUAAAUGUUGAUCAUCCUUUAUCUAUUGUUUUCUAUGCAUGUAGUUAUAUCACACUAUGAAUAUAUGCAUGUAUAGGAUUACUAUAUUAUUUUGCUAUAUGCUGUUGAGCUAUCUUCCCGUCUUUUGCAAAUCGUGGUAGUUGUAGUUUGCUAUGCUUUGUAGACGGGGGUGGUUCGUGUAUACAUUGAGUUUAUGUGAGGAUUACAUAUAUAUAACAAUUGAGUAGUAACUCAGGAUUUAACUCACCUCUAGGCGGAAGUGGUAUUGCUUGGUGUUGAGGGAAGGCAUCAUGGGGUCUUGCACCUUUUCUAAGGCCAUGCGCUCAUGAGAGUGCACCCUAAGUGGAAUGCCGCCCAGGUUCAAAAAGAUCAGACAGACUUAGUGACUAGUAGCUUCCAUGUGCGGCCACUGGCUAUAUGGGCUCUAGCUUAGUUGAUCAGUUGUUGGAACCCUUGCCCAGACAAUGUCGACAGAUGUAGCAUAUGUAGGUGGGAUGUGGCCGUCAGGUGGUUAAGGGAACCUCUUCUGAAAGACUUUGUCUCAAUCUUCGGAUUGGGUCUAGUGGGUAAAGCGUACAAAACUCUGCAGAGUAUUAAAACUAAUCAUGAUUAGCCGUGCCCCCGGUUAUGGGUAAAUUUCAGCCACUAUGCCGUUACAAUUGUUGGAUGAUCUUGACACAUGUGACACUUAAUAAUAUUUGUGGGCAACUUAAUAAAGGGUAGGUUGGAGUUGAUUUUGCCAACUCAACCUUGUGUAUUUAAUUGUAGUAAUAAAAGAACUAAAUAAAAAUUUGACUAUUAGGUAGUUAUUAGGAUAAAAUCAGCUUUAUGCAAAAAUAAACCCUCAAGCCUUCCUUUGUUGUACUAUGCAUAUACAUGUAGGUCUGCUAUAUUAUUACUCCUGUGUAACUUGCCAACACAUUCAAAGUAUUGACCUAUAUGGCUGCAACGUCUCAUGUUGCAGGAUAUUCAGACGACGAGUAAGGUACCGUUAGGGUCGCGAGUCUGCACUCAGCAUCGCCAGUGGGCUAUGAUGGGACUCAUCGUUAUUUUCUGCUACUUUCCGCUGUUUGAUUGAAUAAAGCUAGCCAAGUGCGAUGCAGAUUGUUUUAUUUUAUACAUUCUGGAUCAUACGAUGUAAUAAAUGAUGCACUUGCUAUUCUGGUAUUCAUCUA